rnacentral:tRNA from 1 species
UCCGGCCCGGCCGGAGGCGGCGACGGGGCUGCCGGCGACGGGCUCGGUGUCGGAGCCGACACCGCCCCCGGGAUCACCGCCGGAGCCGGACC